UACGGAGGGUGCAAGCGUUAUCCGGAUUUACUGGGUUUAAAGGGUGCGUAGGAGGGCAGGUAAGUCAGUGGUGAAAUCCCCGAGCUUAACUUGGGAACUGCCGUUGAUACUAUCUGUCUUGAAUAUCGUGGAGGUGAGCGGAAUAUGUCAUGUAGCGGUGAAAUGCUUAGAUAUGACAUAGAACACCAAUUGCGAAGGCAGCUCGCUACACGAAUAUUGACUCUGAGGCACGAAAGCGUGGGGAUCAAACAGG
rnacentral:rRNA from 1 species